CCGCAUAUAAUUCUUUAAGCAUAAUUAGUUCUUUUUCUAAGGCAAUUAUCUUAUCAUUUUUCGCUUCUUCAAUCUGUUGUAUUUCUAAUUUUGCUUGCUGUUUUAUUGUAUCUAUUUCUUUUUUCCUAUCUAUUUCUUCAUUUUCUCUAGUUAUUCGUACCAUUGCAGUUAGACUAUCUUCUAAUUUCACUAUUUCUUUUUCUACCAUCAAGUAUAGAUUAUCACCUAUUUUUUUAUACCUUCUUCCUAAAUUUUGAAAAUAUUAUUUUUAUUUUUAAUCCUUCAGGAUUUUCGUAGCUUUUUUCUUCUAUAGCAAAUUCUUCUUUAUUCAUUUUAAAUUGUGUUUUAGUUUAUACUCUAUACUUUGUAUUUCUAGCUCUAGGUUGAAUAUUAUUUAUCUCUGAGCUAACAGAGAUUUUUGAC
rnacentral:lncRNA from 1 species